GGGGGCGAUGGAACCGGGUUCCCCCCGGUCUGCAAAACCGGGCGCGGCUCUGGCCAAGACGCCGUGAUGGGUUCGACUCCCAUUCGCCCCCU
rnacentral:tRNA from 1 species